GUUGUUGCAGUUAAAAAGCUCGUAGUUGAAUUUCGGGGUUAGUAUGUUGGUCAUGCCUCUGGUAUGUACUGAUCUCACUGAUUCCUCCUUCCUUAUGAACCGUAAUGCCAUUAAUUUGGUGUUGCGGGGAAUUUGGACUGUUACUUUAAAAAAUUAGAGUGUUUAAAGCAGGCUAACGCUUGAAUACAUUAGCAUGGAAUAAUGAAAUAGGACAUCCGAU
rnacentral:rRNA from 1 species